rnacentral:rRNA from 1 species
AUGGGAACGCGAAGAACCUUACCUAGACUUGACAUCUCCUGAAUAGUGUAGAGAUACAUGAAGCCCUUCGGGGCAGGAAGACAGGUGGUGCAUGGUUGUCGUCAGCUCGUGUCGUGAGAUGUUGGGUUAAGUCCCGCAACGAGCGCAACCCUUAUUACUAGUUGCUACCAUUAAGUUGAGCACUCUAGUGAGACUGCCCGGGUUAACCGGGAGGAAGGCGGGGAUGACGUCAAAUCAUCAUGCCCCUUAUGUCUAGGGCAACACACGUGCUACAAUGGUGAGUACAGAUAGAUGCGAUACCGCAAGGUGGAGCCAAACUCUAAAACUCAUCCCAGUUCGGAUUGUAGGCUGCAACUCGCCUACAUGAAGUUGGAGUUGCUAGUAAUCGCGAAUCAGAAUGUCGCGGUGAAUACGUUCCC